rnacentral:rRNA from 1 species
ACGGGGUGCAGCAGGCGCGAAACCUCCUCAAUGCACUCAAGUGCGAAGGGGUUACCUCGAGUGCCAUCUGAAGAAGGUGGCUUUUCCUUGGUCUAAAUAGCCUUGGGAAUAAGAGGGGGGCAAGACUGGUGUCAGCCGCCGCGGUAACACCAGCCCCUCGAGUGGUGGGGAUGAUUAUUUGGCCCAAAGCGUCCGUAGCCGGCCGAGUAAGUUUCCCGUUAAAUCCAGCGUCUCAAGCGUUGGGCUGCGGGAAAUACUGCCCGGCUAGAGAGUGGGAGAGGUAAGCGGUGUUCUGGGGGUAGGGGCGAAAUCCUUUGAUCCCCGGAGGACCACCAGUGGCGAAGGCUGCUUACUAGAACACGUCUGACGGUCAGGGACGAAAGUUGGGGUAGCGAACCGGAUUAGAUACCCGGGUAGUCCCAGCCGUAAACGAUGCACGCUGGGUGUUGGGUCGGCCACGAGCCGCCCCAGUGCCGCAGGGAAGCCGUUAAGCGUGCCGCCUGGGAAGUACGGCCGCAAGGCUGAAACUUAAAGGAAUUGGCGGGGGAGCACAGGAAUUGGCGGGGGAGCAC